rnacentral:rRNA from 1 species
AUUGAACGCUGGCGGCAUGCCUUACACAUGCAAGUCGAACGGCAGCACGGGUGCUUGCACCUGGUGGCGAGUGGCGAACGGGUGAGUAAUACAUCGGAACGUACCUUAUCGUGGGGGAUAACGCAGCGAAAGUUCCGCUAAUACCGCAUACGCCCUGAGGGGGAAAGCGGGGGACCGUAAGGCCGCGCCCGAUUAGAGCGGCCGAUGUCUGAUUAGCUUGUUGGUGGGGUAAAAGCUCACCAAGGCGAUGAUCAGUAGCUGGUCUGAGAGGACGAUCAGCCACACUGGGACUGAGACACGGCCCAGACUCCUACGGGAGGCAGCAGUGGGGAAUUUUGGACAAUGGGGGCAACCCUGAUCCAGCAAUGCCGCGUGAGUGAAGAAGGCCUUCGGGUUGUAAAGCUCUUUUGUCAGGGAAGAAACAGCAGCUCUAACACAGUCUGCGAAUGACGGUACCUGAAGAAUAAGCACCGGCUAACUACGUGCCAGCCGCCGCCGUAA